AUACCUACGGGAGGCAGCAGUAGGGAAUUUUCGUCAAUGGGCGCAAGCCUGAACGAGCGAUGCCGCGUGAGUGAAGAAGGCCUUCGGGUCGUAAAGCUCUGUUGCGGGGGAAAAAAGGCAGAAUCAGGAAAUGGGAGAUGACUGAUGGUGCCCCGCCAGAAAGUCACGGCUAACUACGUGCCAGCAGCCGCGGUAAUACGUAGGUGGCGAGCGUUAUCCGGCAUGCUUGGGCGUAA
rnacentral:rRNA from 1 species